UGGGGAAUAUUGGACAAUGGGCGAAAGCCUGAUCCAGCCAUGCCGCGUGUGUGAAGAAGGUCUUCGGAUUGUAAAGCACUUUAAGUUGGGAGGAAGGGCCAUUACCUAAUACGUGAUGGUUUUGACGUUACCGACAGAAUAAGCACCGGCUAACUCUGUGCCAGCAGCCGCGGUAAUACGUAGGGUGCGAGCGUUAAUCGGAAUUACUGGGCGUAAAGCGUGCGCAGGCGGUUUGGUAAGACAGAUGUGAAAUCCCCGGGCUUAACCUGGGAAUUGCAUUUGAAACUGGAAAACUAGAGUGUGUGAGAGGGGGGUAGAAUUCCAAGUGUAGCGGUGAAAUGCGUAGAUAUAGGAAGGAACACCAGUGGCGAAGGCGACCACCUGGACUGAUACUGACACUGAGGUGCGAAAGCGUGGGGAGCAAACAGGAUUAGAUACCCCGGUAGUCCCUGAGCGGGCUGGCAAGGCGCAU
rnacentral:rRNA from 1 species